rnacentral:rRNA from 1 species
GACGAACGCUGGCGGCGUGCUUAACACAUGCAAGUCGAACGAUGAAGCCUUCGGGUGGAUUAGUGGCGAACGGGUGAGUAACACGUGGGUGAUCUGCCCUGCACUUUGGGAUAAGCCUGGGAAACUGGGUCUAAUACCGAAUAUGACCAUGCUCUUCAUGGGGUGUGGUGGAAAGCUUUUGCGGUGUGGGAUGGGCCCGCGGCCUAUCAGCUUGUUGGUGGGGUAAUGGCCUACCAAGGCGACGACGGGUAGCCGGCCUGAGAGGGUGACCGGCCACACUGGGACUGAGAUACGGCCCAGACUCCUACGGGAGGCAGCAGUGGGGAAUAUUGCACAAUGGGCGCAAGCCUGAUGCAGCGACGCCGCGUGAGGGAUGACGGCCUUCGGGUUGUAAACCUCUUUCAGCAGGGACGAAGCGAAAGUGACGGUACCUGCAGAAGAAGGACCGGCCAACUACGUGCCAGCAGCCGCGGUAA